ACCCGUGGGGGGCGCCUAACACAUGCAAGUCGAACGAAGUAGCAAUACUUAGUGGCAGACGGGUGAGUAACAUGUAGGUAUCUACCCUUUGGCCUGGAAUAACACGAGGAAACUUGUGCUAAUACCGGAUAAGUCUUUACGGAGAAAGCUUUAUGCACCAUUGGAUGAGCCUGCACUUGAUUAGUUUGUUGGUAGGGUAAUGGCCUACCAAGACUGUGAUCAAUAGCUGAUUUGAGAGGAUGAUCAGCCACAUUGGGACUGAGACACGGCCCAAACUCCUACGGGAGGCAGCAGUGGGGAAUCUUGCACAAUGGAGGAAACUCUGAUGCAGCGAUGCCGCGUGAGUGAAGAAGGCCCUUGGGUUGUAAAGCUCUUUCGUCGGGGAAGAAAAUGACUGUACCCGAAUAAGAAGGUCCGGCUAACUUCGUGCCAGCAGCCGCGGUAAUACGAAGGGACCUAGCGUAGUUCGGAAUUACUGGGCUUAAAGAGUUCGUAGGUGGUUGAAAAAGUUAGUGGUGAAAUCCCAGAGCUUAACUCUGGAACUGCCAUUAAAACUUUUCAGCUAGAGUAUGAUAGAGGAAAGCAGAAUUUCUAGUGUAGAGGUGAAAUUCGUAGAUAUUAGAAAGAAUACCAAUUGCGAAGGCAGCUUUCUGGAUCAUUACUGACACUGAGGAACGAAAGCAUGGGUAGCGAAGAGGAUUAGAUACCCUCGUAGUCCAUGCCGUAAACGAUGUGUGUUAGACGUUGGAAAUUUAUUUUCAGUGUCGCAGCGAAAGCGAUAAACACACCGCCUGGGGAGUACGACCGCAAGGUUAAAACUCAAAUGAAUUGACGGGGACCCGCACAAGUAGUGGAGCAUGUGGUUUAAUUCGAAGAUACGCGCAGAACCUUACCAACACUUGACAUGUUCGUCGCGACUCUAAGAGAUUAGAGUUUUCGGUUCGGCCGGACGAAACACAGGUGCUGCAUGGCUGUCGUCAGCUCGUGUCGUGAGAUGUUGGGUUAAGUCCCGCAACGAGCGCAACCCUCACUUUUAGUUGCCAUCAUUUAGUUGGGCACUCUGAAAGAACUGCCAGUGAUAAGCUGGAGGAAGGUGGGGAUGACGUCAAGUCCUCAUGGCCCUUACGUGUUGGGCUACACACGUGCUACAAUGGUAUCUACAACAGGAAGCAAGACUGCGAGGUCAAGCAAAUCCUUAAAAGAUACCUCAGUUCGGAUUGCACUCUGCAACUCGAGUGCAUGAAGCUGGAAUUACUAGUAAUCGUGGAUCAGCGUGCCACGGUGAAUGCGUUCCCGGGUCUUGUACACACCGCCCGUCACACCAUGGGAGUUGGUUCUACCUUAAGGCAAGGUUUAAAACCCCUGACCAUCGUAAUGACGAGCGG
rnacentral:rRNA from 1 species